AGCUAUGAGGUAUUAGGAAAAGCAUUCAAGCUCACCAAGCCUCAGUUUUCUCAUCUGGAAAGGCAAGAUACUAAUAAUUAACUCACAAGGUUGUUUUCAAGAUUCAAUGAAAUAACUCAGUGUUCUCAAUGUGGGACACAUUCCUGAGGUUCACACUUCUUUUAAAACAUUAUCGAAGGCAGUUGUUAAGAGAAAAGAUGUUAUAAAGCUAAAAUAUUCAGAUAAAGUAUUUGGAGAAAGCAGAAUUUUAUCUGAAGCUUGAAAAACUAUUAGGAUCUGCAGAAUGGGUGAGAAUGUUGCCUUUUUAUAAGCAAGUCAGAGCUCAGAAUAUAAUUCUCUCCAUUCUUUACUUGACUAAUUGUUAGUCACUCCUUGUUCUCUGUUUAGAUGUCAUUAACUCAGGGAAAUCUUUUCAGCCCUUCAGGCCAGGCUAUUUCCUAAACUACGUGUUAUUACCAUAUUCAGUACUUGGCACCAUAUUCCUCCCUCACCAAUCUCUGAGGCCUAUAAGGCAGGGACUCUGUCUGCCUUGUUCCCUGUUGUAUCCCUAGACCUAGCACAGCAUCCAACAAUAUCUUAGGCAUUCUGUUAAUAUUUUUUGCAUAACCGCAUGAAAUAGAAUUCAGAAUUCAAGUGGUCAGAUUUCAAAUAUGUUUGAAAUGAGAUAUAAUUUUCUUCUACAAAGUAUACAUAAAAGAUCAUAAUUUCUACUUUCAAUUCAACAACAGAAAUUACAUAACACCGGUCCUUUAGACCUUAUAGGAGAUGGAAGGACAUAGGCAUGAAUAAAUCACAGGCUUGUGGAGCUCCCAAAAUAGCAGAAAGAUUAAUACAUCAACAACAUCGGUGGUGGGAUAAGCAUAUGAUUAGGGUGUAUAUGAAGUGCUUUGAGAGCACAGAUACAGGAGCAAUUCCUUCUUCUGGAGAGAAGUUGAAGGAAGCAGGGAAAGUUGCAAAGAAGACAGUUGAGCUGGACUUUGAAGGAUGAGCUGCAAUUGGCUCAGUGAACAUGGAGAUGAAACAGCAUUGAUUUCAUUUUAAGAGUGCCUCCAGAGCACAAAUUCUGAAGCCGGGCUCUGCAACUUACUCUUCCUGGACCCUUAGGCAACUUAGUUGCCCUCUCUCUGCCACUUCAGUUUUCUCAUCUGAAAAUGGGACUAACAACAGAAUGUAUUCUGUUAGGUCCCUUAUGAGGAUUUCAUACAUUAAUCUAGGCUAAGUGCUCAGAGUAGUGCUGGGCACCCAGUAAAGGUUAUAUAAAUGUUAGUUGUUGUUGCCGCCGCUGCUGCUGUUGUUACCAUUAUACUUAGUUGUAGCCAAAACUAUUUUCAUCUGCUAAUCAAAAUGUGGCUUUAUACCCAUAAUGGGUUUCAGUCCACCUGUAUGCCUGAGCACACCAGUGGAAAACCACUGCUCUAAAAAGAAUGGAAGGGAGACAACGGUGAACAGGGACAGAUGCAUUAGAUAUUAACUGACUGUAAUCCAGGUGAAAAAUGGUGUCUUCCUAUGUAGUGAAAAUAGAACACAGCCCAGGCCAGAGCUUUGAGGUGUUAUAUUGGGAAGUGCUGGUUUAGUACUACUUACCAGAAGAGAGGUCUAAAAUCUGUCUUGCAUAUUUCAGCACGAGUACCAAUCAAGUGAGUACUCUUCCUAAGAACAGCUCCUUUUUAUUUGCUAUUUUUUGCCUCACAACCUUUAAAGCAGGAAGAUGGCUUAACAGGUCAAAGAAACAUCAUUCAUUCUGUAUACAUUGCUCUGGAGUAAACUCCUCUAUCAAUAUUUCAUGAAACAGACUCCCCAGAAUGGGAGUGCAGACUGAAGGUCAGAGACGGUCAGUCACGGCUGAUGUUGGAAGGCUUGGCUGAAACUCAUUGAUGUCACAUUCAGAGGCUGUCUACAGCCAAGACAAAGGAUGCUACAUCCUAGAGAAGGGGUUUAAAGAGAAGAUUCUACAGAGACAACUACUUUACAAACAAACAAAGGGCCCUACAUUGUCUUACAUUCAUGACAUGAUUCCGUUCCCCACUCCAGACGGUGUUCCUAUUUUUACUCAGCUCCCGGUAUUCUUUCUGUUUCCACCCAAUUAAUUGUCAGAUGAUUCGCAGUCAUGAGACGAUUUGGUCACAUAAUGAGAUGGUCCGUGAUUGCUGCAUACUUCCUCCCUUCUCCCAAAAUUGUACCAACAUGACAGAAUAAUUUUGGUGAAAAUCUUAGAAUGCAUGACCACUUCUGUCUCAGCAGCAGUUGUUUUCUGUCUUUUCUGGAACAAAAACAGUAGAAGCCCCACUAGCUGUAAAAUGCAGAAUGGCCAGUUAUCUGUCCCAACCUUCUCCAGGGCAUUAUCAGGAGCUCCUGAGUGACGAGCCAUGUUCAGUUAGCUUCCUAUGCACAGCUGUUAGCACAGUGCCUCACAAAUACAUACAUUUUUCAUAUUAUUAGAUGAUGAUUACAACCCUUUGUUAAGACUUUUUAAAGAAAAGCUUUAUCGUAUCUCAAAUGCCUAAAACCUCUUGUGUCAAGUUUGCUUUAUUAAUAAUUUAGAGAUGCUCUUUCUUUUUUUUUAUUAUACUUUAAGUUCUAGGGUACAUGUGCACAAUGUGCAGUUUUGUUACAUAUGUAUACAUGUGCCAUGUUGGUGUGCUGCACCCAUUAACUCGUCAUUUACAUUAGGUGUAUCUCCUAAUGCUAUCCCUCCCUCCUCCCCUCACCCCACCACAGGCCCCGGUGUGUGAUGUUCCCCUUCCUGUGUCCAGGUGUUCUCAUUGUGGAGCCGCUCUUUCUAUGUCCUGCCCAGGCAGAGGCCUUCCCAAAAGCUCUAGAGCAGUAGUUCUCAAAAUGUGACCCUGGACUCGCAGCAUCAGUGUCACCUGGGAGCUUGUUAGGUAUGCAAAUUCUCCAACCCCACCCCAGCAUUACUGAAUCAGCAAUUCUGGGACGGGGUCCAGCAAUCUGUGUUUUAACAACACUCCAGGUAAUUCUGGUGCACACUGAAGUUUGAGAACCAUUGAUCCAGAUGUAUGAAAACUCAUUUUCCAAGUUAACACUGAGUUCCAAAAGGUUUAUAUCAAAGUACUCCUUUUGUUGAAUCUUCCUCUGUAUGUCAAAUUACCUGUUUACAAUCCUCCGGGGGUCCCCUCUUGCCUUCAUGACAAAAAACAAAUUGCUUAGCUUGGUCUACAGAGAACUUACAAGCCAGCCCCUACCCAGCCCCGCCUCCCUACCGCAUACACCAUGCUCCACACCCACAGUGCACAUUGCCCACUUUGUGUUAUGCAUAUGCUGGGUCCUUUCCCUGGAAUAUAAUACUUUUUCCCUCCUUUGCCUGGUAGACCUCUCUCCUUGAAGACAAAGUGUUGAUAUCAACUCCACCUUCAAGUCUCUCAAGCAGAACUAGAUGCUGUUUCUUCAAUGUUUCCACAUCUUCUUGUUCACAUGUGUCUAAGAUGCUUCAAGGGAAAUCUGUCUCCCCAGACACUUGCGUACUACAUUGUAAGCCAUUUUUACUAUGAAGAAGAUUGUAAGCUCAAUUACGGGCUUUACUGCGCUGAUAACGAACACAGAUAUGAGACAAGCAGACUUGAGCUCCUGCCUCGAGGAUGGUGAGCAAAGAGCCUAAGCAAAACUGAGAGGAAAUGAAACACAAAGAGGAAACAGAAAGGGUCUCUCUUUGUCACGCAGGUUGGAGUGCAGUGGUAUGAUCACUGACUGCAGGCUUGAUCUCCUGGGCUCAAAUGAUUCUCCCACCUCAGCCUCCUGAGUAGCCAGGACUUCAGGCAUGCAUCACCACAUCUGGCUAAUUUUUGUAUUUUUUGUAGAGAUGGGAUUUUGCCAUGUUGUCCGGGCUGGUCUUGAACUGCUGAGCUCAAGCAAUCUGCUUGCCUCGGCCUCCUAAAGUGCUGGGAUUACAGGCAUGAGCCACCAGGCCCAGUCUAAGGCCUAAUAAGUUAUGCUACCAAAAAUAAAUUAUAUAAGAUAUUGUAAUUUUAUCCUUAUACAGUACAUAGUUUCUCCCAUGAGCUCUCUCCACUAUGCUAUUGUUUUUAUCCUUCUAUAGUUGGAUGAUGUGUGUGUUCUACCACAGAGGACACUGGAGGGUGGGGGAUCUCCAAAACAAGUGAGGGGAAGCCCCCUUUUCCUUUUCCACUGGAUGAUGAGUUCCUGGGGCCACAGGGAUUUGAACCUCUUAUAGUCACUUUCAGCUCUGAGCUCUCGCUUACACUGAAAUACUUGUUUUAGAGAUCAUGAUUGAUCAUCACAUUGUGUGGUUCAAAUUCCUCAUCAUAUUGACCUGAAUAUUGAAUUCAGCCUUUUCUUCUGAUUUUCACCAUUAUCAACCAACAAACCAACAAAAUGAAACAAUUUCUGAGGUAUUUAUAUGAAUAGAAGACCUUCUCAAAGAUUGGCAAUGACAAGGUACACAUCACAUGUAACUUAAAAUUCCAUGAUUGAUAUCCCCAUUCCUAAAAAUAUCAUGGUCACUUCUCAGAUGUGGACUGUAGUCUUCCACCAUAUUCUUUGAACUUUUCCUUCUUUUCUCUUUUUCCUACACUUCAAACUUUCUGUUGAUUUCGAAUGCAGAGACAGUUGAUGAUCUCUUCUGUUACGCUUUCUCUUACCAAUCCAUGCUAUCAGGGGCACAUCUUCUGCCACAAGAAGCAAAGUACUGCCUUGCUAUAUGGAAGCUCAGAUCACAUACAUAAGCCAUUCCACAUUUCCAGUGACAAUUUCAUUUCAAAUCUCACUGACGGGCUAUUUAUUUGGUGACUACUGUGUACUGUGUGAACAUGUACAUCGAUGUUCAUAUAAAAUUCCUUAUAAUCAAAAAACUAGAAAACCUUAUACUUCAGCCAGAGGGAAAUAGGUAAAUUCAUUAUGCUUUAGUCACUCAAUGGAAAAUUAUAUUCAGUAGGGAUCACAAACUUUAACUCACUUUACAACUCGUAUGUACAAAUAACUCUAAUGGCUUCAUUCAGCCUCUCAAUCCUCUAGUCUUACUAUACUGACUAGUGGGGAAAAGAUUAACUUACUCUUCGAUCGAUUUAAAGAUUAGUCUGCAAUCAUAAUUUAGGUAAUAUUCAGUCUUCUUAAAUAAAAGUGUUAAAUCUCUCACAUAGUUCCCCUUCCCCUGCUUUUGUCAUUAGAACGGCAGUGCGGUAUAUCAGGACAUCCCGCAUGACUUUUUGGCAGCAAAAAAGAGGAAGUGCUCGCAAGCAUGGUAAUGGCCUCCUCCUCUGGUCUCUGGAGUAAACCCCAAACUGCUCUGUCUUGCUAGCAUCCACUGAUGCAGGAUACCACUACUUUAGCUCAAUCUCAUCUCUUGGCUCGGUGAUCCUGAGCCUCCUUGACUAAAUAGGCCUCGAGGCUUUGACUCAGCUUCUGAUGGCCAACUACCCCUAUGCAGUUGCCACAGACCCCAUUCAGCCCUGGCCUACAGCCUGCCCAUGGCUUUGCUGCCAAAUUACCUUGACCCACCAUUACAAACCCUAUUACAGACUUGACGGCUUUUAACUCAGUAUGAACACCUUAGGAAUGGAGGGGUGUCUAGAAAAUGACAACCAGACCUUUUUCUGGGUCUCAUAGGACCACUCAGCUUCCCCUUCCUAAUCACUAGGCUGCCCCACUGUGCACAGAAGUGUCCUCCCAGGGUUCCCAAAUGAGAGUUGGAGGUGGGGAGUAAAAGCUUCCUGGAGGCUGUUUGCUCCCUCAACUUGUAAAAUGCACAGUAAAUUGGGGCCUACAUUUAAUUCUUUCACUUUCUUCCUUUCCCUCUCCUCUCUGUCCCACUUCCUCUGAGACAGAGAGUGAGUUUUUAUUUUGCUUCCUUUUGUCAUAUACAUACCCCUGCACCUGCUGAGCAACAGUCUCCAUGCUUUGCUGUUAAAGACGGAAUGAGCAUCUUCUCUACACCAAAGAGAACUCUAUGGUGGAGGUCAUCCAGGCUUGGCUGUAAUAUGCAAGAGAGGGCAGUAGCCAAAGGAACGUAGCAAAGCCUUUCUCCUGCAGCUGGGAUCCUAUUUACAUGUCAGAAACUAAAUAUUAUCUCAGUCUUUCUCUUGAUGUUACUCUCAUGCCAAGCAGGAGGAUAGAGCACUAUAUUUAGAGGCUACUAAAUAUCCAUGUAGUCUCCCAAUACGGAAUAGAAAACUUUUGAACUCUUAAAUUAUCUUUGUCUGCAUAUUUAUCUUCAACAACUGCUUAGCAAGCUAAAAAAUCCUCAGAAGAAAAAAAAAUCCAUUUGAAGGGCUUGAAAAAUACAACCUUUGAGUAAGAGGAAACUUUCUGCAGUCUAUAAAGUCAAAUCUCAGAAUGGCAGUCCCUUUAACAUGUGGUCUUCUAUUCUUUAUGUAAAUGCCACCAAAACUCACUCCUUCACAAGACAACCCACCUUGUCUAGGGACAGCUCAUGUUAUCGGAAAGACCUUUCCUCUAUUAGGGAGAAACCAACUGAGUUUUUUCCUCUACCUGGAAUAUCCACCUCCUCUGGUGUCCCCUCUCAGAAUUCUACCUGUUUUUCCGGACGCAUGUGAAAUGCCACCACUUUAGUAUGUCAUGUCCCCAGUCACAGUGCACCUUAGGUUUAUCACUGACAAUCUCCCCCACCAGACCCCAGGCCCAGGAAGGCAGACCUCUCCCUUCUUCAUUGAAGUUCCUCUUGUAAUGAGCACAUAGUAGGUGUUCAACUUUUGUUGCAAUGAAUGAGCUCCCUGUGUUCCAACUGCCUUCUGGGCCCUGGAAUCAUUUCUUAAGCAAACGGCUCAGCAAUGGCAAAAAAGCAGGUAGCUGUAAGGCAGUGAGACAUACCAAUGGCAAAGAUAAAGGGCAUAUGACAGACAGGAAAAGGGUGACACAGUUCUGUUCCUUGUAAAGUUAGGCGGCUCACUAUGCAUCUCUAAGCAUGCAGGGCAAAUGGAAUGCUUUGCGACGGCAGCCUGCACACCGUGUGCUGUAUUUAAUGUUCUUCAGCUGUGUGACAGGACUGACAAAACUGAUCCCACCUUCAUCCUUAUCUAAUCAUUUUAUGGGGCAUUAAGCUGCCUUUGCCUGAACGGUUACCAGCUGCAACAACACUCCAGGAAAGGACACAACCCUGCUUAUGAUAAAGCACAUUACACUCAUGGAACCCGUCUCUAUGAAUCUCCGAUUCACAGUUUAUAUAAUUUACCCUAGGCUCAUCCUCCACCUUCCCUUUGGGGCGUGGACCUACACUCAUUCAGCUGUAGGCAGUUGCCUAUUGAAGGUGCCGUGCUGCACUAACACAUUGUUAGGGUUUUAAAGUUGGUGAGACUUUUCCCUGUGGCAACACAACUUUCCCAGCCUCUAGGUUAAAUGCAGACAGCUUACUGAGUGACUUUAAAGCUAAGUAUCCCUGCUUUGUAAACUUCAAUGACCACAGUUUUUAUUAUAAACAGUGGUUACCUUGAUUGUGGGGUCAGCCUCCCUGUGGAAAGACACAGAACCCUCUGGUCACCUGAAGGCAUUUCAAACAUGUUUUUGCUUGAAAGGAUCAUCGCUGCGUGCCUGUCUUCAUUCCUGCUCUCUUCUCCAUGUGCUUUGCCUUGCUGCUGGUAUGUGUUCAUUCUGCAGCUGCUGGCAGCUGCAACUCAGGGCAGUAGGAUUCCAGCAGGUGAGGAAUGUAUAUUAUGCAAGCCAUGGCAACUAGAAACACCAACAUCUCCUGCAACCCCUGAAAAUGAAUGGCACAGCUCUGCAACAAAGUCCAUGUAUUAGAACUUGCCUGUGUCCUAGGAGUGAGCUAUUAGCCCUGACAGAGAAACAGACAGGGAGUGUGGUGAGGUGGGACCUGGAGCCAGCCUGAGUUUGGAUCCUGGUUUGACCUGGAGUGAGUUAUGGAAGCUCUCUGUUGUCUCAGUUUCCUCAUCUGCAAAAUGAAGGAAAUAUCUCAAAAGCUAGUUAUGGAGACUAAAUGAGUUAACGCAAAUAAAGUACUUAGAAUUGUGACUGGCACAGAAUAUGCCUUCAGGACACAUGAGCUUGUCUGGAAGAUGAUCGCAUCUGUACCCAAGUAUUUAGUUAUUAUGGAUAAGCCCAUGAUGUACAAAGUUCUAACUGCAGGGAAGACCUCUCCUAAUGGAACAUCUCCCCUUGGGUAUCUCUAAAGCUCCUCAACCUCAGCAUGUCCAACACCAAAUUCAUGAUUGUCCCUUUCCAAUCCAGGUCCUCUCCAAUGCUCUUUUCCUCUAAGAACAGCACAACUAUUCACCCUGGAUAGCCUUCUCCUUCACCCUCAGCCUCCACAUUCCCUACUUCGAGCUACCAUCCAGGCUCCAACCAAUGCCACAGCCAGCCCUUCCCACCUGGUCUCCCUCAUCCUCUCACCCCUCUCCAAUCUGUUCUCCAUGCAGUGGCCAGAGUGGUGAUCUGCUAAGUCACAGUGACAGUGUAUCUCCUGUCACCAAUACAUACACACACACACACACACAUGCACGGACACACUCCCUAAAAUCCUUCAGCAGCUCCCACUGGCUCUUAGCAUAAAAGCAAACUCCCUACAAAGCCCUUCAUGUCCGGCACUGCUCACCCCAUCAGCCUCAUCUUGCACUGCUUUCUUCUUGCUCUUUGGGAUCCAGCCAUGUCAGCUUAUUUCAGAUCUUUAAUACAACAUGAGCCGUCCUUUGUACCUGCUGUUCCCCAUCCCUUUGCCUAGAUAAGUCCCGCUCAUCUUCUGGGUUGCUUCACUGUCCCCCGGUUGGCUAAUCUGCUUCUUUUGUCACCUGUGUAACAAAUUCCCUGCAUCACAUUCUCUUUGCUUGAAAGGCUGAAAGUUUUCUGUUUUCCCGGUUUGGCCCCGAAUGAUGAGGUGAGGGGAUGAUGCCUGGGUACUGGUGGUCUCCACCGGAGACUGGGGAGGGGGACACGAGCUUUCCUGAGCCUCUGGCUAAAGUCAGGUUUCCUUUUUCAUACAUCCUCAAACAGCCUUCCCUUUGAAGCUGUGUCUGUAAUGGCGAUGCACUAGAGUGACUCUGAAUAAUGCCUGUCUUCCCAAUAGACUAAAAACUCCAGGACAGCAAGGACUUAGCACAGUAUCCAGCCCAUGGUUAGGUGCUCAAUAAGUAUUUCUAGAAUUCCUUAACCAAUAGAAGAUGUAUGUCUGUUCAGUACUUCCCCAUAUAUUGCUUCAUUUAAUCUUUAUGCAGUCUUCAUUUAAUCUUUAUCAAACCUUUAAGUUAAGUAUGAUUGUCCUAUUUUAACAUAUGAAGACUCAAGGCUGAAGGACUAGACGAUUUGUUCAAGACCAUGCAGAGGGUAAAUGGAAGAACUUAAAUUCAAGUAUUCCAUUGGGAAGUCAAGCCUCUUCCCACAAAAGCUUUUGCCAGGUUCUCUUUAAUUGUCUUUUAGCAUUGUACAGAAUCUUCAGUGAGAGAAUUAUUUCUACCUGCAUUAAGAUGCUGAACAGGUCUAAAUUCGAGUCGUGGUGUACCUCAGAUGGUUCACCCUUAGCCCUCCUUCUGACAGCUCUGCCUUGCUUGUACAUCCUGGCCUGAGAGGGCAAGAGAGGGAAAGAGCUCUUGUCAAAGGGAGGGCUGGGCCUCUGUUAAUCCUGACAUAACUUCCCAACAGUCUGAGGUGCCACAUGUGUUCCCCUCCCCAAUCUCCAGUGGAGACCACCAGUACCCCGGCAUCAUCACCUCACUUCAUCUCAUCAGAGCCAAACCAGGAAAGCAGAAAACUUUCAGCCUUUCAAACAAAGGAAAUGUGAUGCAGGGAAUUUGUUACACGGGUGACAAAAGAAGCAGAUUAGCCAACUGGGAACAGUGAGGCAACCCAGAGGUUGGCAAUAGUAGGAAGCCACUGCCACCCCUAGGCUAUAAGCACAAGAAAGGAGGAGACUUACCAGAGACCAAGGGCCCAGGUGACAUUGAACAUGGAGGAGGAGAAAUACCUGGUGUGGUAAGGAGGAUAAUCUCCCCCUCAAGACGUCCACAUUCUAAUCUCUGGCACCUGUGAAUAUGUUAUCUUACACGGCAAAAGGGGCUUUUCAGAUGUGAUUAGGUUAAGGCUCUUCUGAUGGGGAGCUUAUCCCACAUUUUUGGGGUAGGACCAAUGUAAUCACAAGUGUCCUUAUAAGAGGGGAGGAAGGAGGGUCAGAAUUAGAGAAGACAAUGUGCAGAAGUUAGAGUGAUGUGGUCACAAGCCAAGGAAUGCAGACAGCCCCUAGGUGUUGGACAAGGAAAGGAAAUGGGUUCUGCCCUAGAGCCUCCAGAAGGAAUGCAGCUCUGCUGACACUCUUAGUCUCAUAGGACUUAUUUCAGAUUUCUGACUGCCAAAACUAUAAGAUAAUACAUUUGUGUUGUUUAAGCCAUUAAGUUUGUGGUAAUUUGGUACAGCAACAAUAGGAAAUGGAUCCAUCCGGCUCACCCCUUCCUCCUGUACUUCAAUCUUGCCACUAGCUGAACCCAACAGGAAGCUAAGUGGCAGAGAAGUGAGGGAAAUACAGCCUGCAAAGAAGGACAAGGGAAGGACCUGGGGGCAAACAUGCCCCCAUGUAUAUAAUGAAAACAAGGCUUAUUCUCUUCUGAUUCAUUCAAAUUCCGUUGCUUAAUCAUGGGAAUCAUGGAAUGGCAUUUGGUCAAGGAGUAAUUUUCAUGAGAUGGUUUGGUAAUUUUCUGGACUUCAUUUUAUUUUUCAUUAUUUUAUGAGCAUGUAAAUCAAAACAGAUGAUAUCACCUCAUCUUUCUCAAUGGCAUCAGUAACAGAACAAAAUCAAAUGAAAGUGCUCCAUAAAAAUGAGCACUGCCCAAGUUAUAGUGUGUGCGGGCUGCUGCCCACUACUCCCUUCUCUGAGUCAUUCCCCGAUGUGACUUGGCAGCCCAGCUCCAUCAGCUCUGUGGUUGAAAAAAAAUGGGUCAUUGCACUGCGACAAAAGGACAUUCAUUGAAAAUACAGCAAUUAAGAAAAAUUUGAGCUCCAAUAGUCUCAAAUGACCAAAGGAAGCUUGUACUUGCAGCGUGUGGGUGCCAGCAGCAGGCAGACCAACAAAGCAGCAGGAGUUCCACCAGCAGCCACCAGGGACACGUCUAAGAAUUCUAUCAAACAGAAGGAAGUGGCUGAACUCCACUGAUGCAGGGGACAGGAGGCCUUGGAAAAGGCUGUUUUCAGCAUUACUAGCAUUUAAUUGAAACAUUCUGGAACCUGUAGUCCCAGGACCUAAAAAUAGGGCAUCACAACAAAAGACUCAACAAUAACGUUUUUCCUUAUGAAAUUUUAUUUUUGCUUAAAUAUAGGGGAAUAUAUAGGACACUGUAAAGGCAAAGUCUCACUGGUUUCUCUCUCUCUCACACACACACACAGAAUUGGAAGAGUUCAUAAAUAAAACAAAUUAGCAAAAAUGUUGAUGGUUGUUGAAGCUGGAUGAUGGGUACAUGAGUGUUCAUUGUAUUAAUCUCUCCUACCUUUUGUUUUAAAAUUUUUAUUAAAAAGGGAAAAUGUAAAUGUUGAUUUCAUUGGAUACAUGUUUUCCCUAGUUAGUCUUCCUUUACACUGUUCAUUUCAUUGUCACUAGGCUUCACCAUGUCUCUGUGUCGUGGGACCCAGCAGCAUGCAGAUAUUGCCAAGUGUGCUCUGAUUCUGUCUGUACUUAUGUGGAAAGCAGAAGCCUGCUCUGGCAGAGGAAGGGCGGUGUCCAGGCAAUAGGCAUAGGAAAUGAGUAGGCAGCAGGCUGAAGAGGGUGAAAAAAAACAGGGCAAGAGCAACCCCUCCACUGAAAUGCACUGGGAAGGGGGACUUAGAUACUAACACAAGUUCAAUUCAAGAAGCAUUUAUUGAACCGUCCUCAUGAGCCAGGUCAGGGUGUUCAGCACUGAGCGUGUCAAGACGAAGACACAUAGCCUCUAAGUGUCCACCAUCUACAAUAGCUAAUGUUUAAUUGUCCUUAAAAGUUGAAGAAUGUUGACUGGAUUGUCUGCAAAUCAGUCAUGUGAGUAGUGUUAAUCUAAUGAAGAAGAAUCUUAAAAGACAAAUUCUCCAAAUGCUGCUGCUCCUGCAUCCUGCUGCUCUACCUGCUGUGGGGAGGAGGUGAGUGGAUGAUACCCAGCUUCCUUUCGUGGCAACAACACUUAAAAAGUAAGGUGAGACUUUGCUUUUCUAGAGAGUACUGAGAUGGUCAAGAUAUGCACUGUUGAUGGGCUAAUUUUCAGUGUUCAUAGCACAGCACAUAAUGCCAAAGUGGAACACAGUGAGAAAGAGAUUCAUGCCAAUCCCUUUUGGGAACAAAUGUCUGAAAAAUCACAAGGGUCACUGGCUCUGGUCUCGCUUGGUUCUGUCACUGUGGGGAAUGGGGGAUGGAGGAGUGAGGAAAUACGCCAGGAUUGAUAAUGGUCAGUGAAAUGCCUUGCCCAUCUAAAGCACUGCUCCCCUCCCCCUUCUUUUCCUUCUUAACAGCUGGCCCGAAGAACCUAAACUUAGCAAGGGCGAGGUGUAGGAAACUAGAUAGUGCAUUCUACAGUUGGAUAGGAAAUACUGGGCUCAAUGUGUUUAAGGUUAAGAUUAAUUCCUCACUUCCUCCGAAUCUAUUUUAAAAACAGAGCAAAGGAUGGCAUAUGCUUUCUUCUAACAAAAUGACAGAUGAUCAAAGGAUAAACAUGAUCUGCAUGUAAAACCCUCUGACUACUGCCAUGGCCCUUUGCCUACAGAUUAAAAAAAAAAAAGCAGUAUUUUAUCAAUGUGGUUAAAAUUUGGUUGUCUGUGUUUAUUCAGAAAACUCAGUAGUGGCAACAGCCAGAAAAAUAGUGAAUCAUGAUUGGCUAAAUUGAAACAAGCCAGUAGUAGAACAAAGGAAAAACUUAGUGGUACUCUGCUCUUAAAUGUCUGCUUCACAGCAAUGAACAGAGACCACAGCCUCUCUCUCUGCAAGAGGGAGCUUGAGGUUCAAGUCUGAGACUUAGUUUCUGAAAGCAGAAAUCUGCCUGCUGUCGAGGCGGCAAAUCAAUUUUUCUGAUUUGCCGUAACAAUCCUAAUUGAUGUUGGCUCAUUAUUAUUCCCUGCGUUAUGUAAACAAGAACUCUCAUUGUGUGCAGCCACUCAUUAGGGCUGAUUUAAUUGAAUUUGAGAAGGAAAGGAAUGGCUGCCUUGGGAAGCAAAGUACCCUAGGCUUCUGAAAGAGCAGCGAGUGCUCCACAAGUGACUUACAAGUGACGCUUAUGUCAGAUGCGUGCACAGGAAGAAUGAGAGCAGACCCUCUCCCCUCCCUUUUUCUCCCUAGAGUGGUUUAUAUGGCUCUUCAUUAAUUGUGUUUGCUGCACAGUGCCUCUGCUUUGCUUCUUUGAUGUAGUUAUUUUUGAUGUCCCAUCAAGCUAUGGCCCCCUUUGAGUUUUUCAAGACCCCACAAGUCCCAGAGAAAUGCCAUUCAAUCUGUGAUUCUUUAAGUGUAAAGAAAAUCAGCUCAGAAAUUGGCAGGCCGAAACAUUCUAAUGGUGUCAAAUUUCAUUGUUAGCACUCUGGGCCUUUUUUCAACCAAAGCACUUUGAACUCUGGAAGGAGCCUGGCCUGUCUUUGAAUAGGGUGUAAUUAUCAAGCCCAUUCAAUCAAUCAUUUACUCAUUCUACAAAUACUUCUUGAGUUCCUAAUACUAUGUGUUGCUCUCUUCUCUAGGCAUUGGGAAUUAGUGUUAAACAAGACACAAAAUGUGUGCUCUCAGGAAGAUCAUAUGCCAGUGCAGAGAGAUGAUAAACACGAAAUCCAAUAAAUACACAGUUUGUGCCAUGAAGAAAAUAAAACAAGCUGAUGAAAUUAUAACUACCAGUGACCACUCCCUGAUAUGCUGCAGAUGCAAUUGAGUAGCAGCUUCAUUCCACAUUUCUCCAACAUCUUUCAUGGUGAGGUCAAGAGCAUAUUCAAAACCAUGUGUGGCUCAGUCCAACUGGAGAGACCAAGUCAAAGAGCCUCAUUUCCAUAAGGUAGAAUCUUGUCCAUACCUCUUCACUCACAACACAGACCAAUCUUGCAGAAGCCAGGAGGUUCUGAGUAAGGUCUGCAUAAAGAAAUAAUACCAUAGUUUCCAAUUGGCCAGUUUCGUUCUCUAACCAAACAGCUGCUGCCUGCUUACUGAGUGUGCAUGCCCACGCACACUCACACUGACUGUAACUCACCAUCAGCUGUAACCAGGCAGUUCUCUCAAGCCAUCUGCAGCUGGGCAAAAACCUAGAAUGAUUAAGUCAUUGAUAGAACACCACUUUCCUAAAAAUGGCAAUACUUAAAUACAUCUAAUCCUGAUCAAUACCUUGAUAUUCUAUAUCAUACAUUUAAAAAUCAAGUUGCCUAAUUAUUUUAAAUAUAUUCCAAAUGAACAAAAACACAUUAUAACUCCAAAUCACCAUGUUACCACCACCAUGGCGUGGAACCUUCCUGUCCACUCCAGAAGGCAGUUUUGUGCCCUCCUGGGCACCUGUGUCGCAGCCUAGAGACACUUAGACAUCCACCGGGAUAGUCCCAGGGCUCAGCUGUGUUGUUUCCAUGUCUCAGUGAUCACUUUUCUUUGUUGCCUGAUGUCUCAACAUUUUGAAAACUGCUGUUUCACAUAUUUUGUCUGGUUUUCUAGUUGCUUCAGACAGGAGUUAACUACAGUCCUUAUUACUUUGUCUUUCCUGAAAGCAGAAGUCUUUUAACUAAAGAAGGGUAGAUAUUAAAUGUAUCAUCUUUAGAAUUUGAUGAGAAAGUAAAAUUGCUUCCUCACUGUCCUCACCGGAUUCACAGGGGGAAAUGAUUCAGAGGCUUUUGCCUUUACCUCCUAGAGCAUGUUCUUGCAACUGUUGGGCUAGUCUUAUCUGGCCAAACUCUGUUACUAACAGAAUGUCUAGUUAUUUUGCAGGCACAGAGUUAAGAAGUGGCAAGUUAACACAGCCAGAGCAUGCACAGAAGAAAACUUCGACCUCAAAUAACACCUAGAACCAAAGUCCCUACCGCAGAACUAAAAGAUUGGGAUGUGGCUGGAACUCAAGCACCUAAACACUUUCAAAAGUGAGCAGUUCGUUUUCUAGGAAUGUUCACUGAUAAGACCCUUCCCCUUGCCUUACCAUAAAUAGUUACUUAAAGAUCCUCC
rnacentral:lncRNA from 1 species